rnacentral:rRNA from 1 species
AUGCUCGUCAUCGUAGGGUUAGUCGGGUCCUAAGUCGAGUCCGAAAGGGGUAGACGAUGGCAAAUUGGUUAAUAUUCCAAUACCAACAUUAGUGUGCGAUGGAAGGACGCUUAGGGCUAAGGGGGCUAGCGGAUGGAAGUGCUAGUCUAAGGUCGUAGGAGGUUGUACAGGCAAAUCCGUAUAACAAUACUCCGAGAACUGAAAGGCUUUUUGAAGUCUUCGGAUGGAUAGAAGAACCCCUGAUGCCGUCGAGCCAAGAAAAGUUUCUAAGUUUAGCUAAUGUUGCCCGUACCGUAAACCGACACAGGUGGGUGGGAUGAGUAUUCUAAGGCGCGUGGAAGAACUCUCUUUAAGGAACUCUGCAAAAUAGCACCGUAUCUUCGGUAUAAGGUGUGGUUAGCUUUGUAUUAGGAUUUACUCCGAAAGCAAGGAAACUUACAACAAAGAGUCCCUCCCGACUGUUUACCAAAAACACAGCACUCUGCUAACUCGUAAGAGGAUGUAUAGGGUGUGACGCCUGCCCGGUGCUCGAAGGUUAAUUGAUGGGGUUAGCAUUAGCGAAGCUCUUGAUCGAAGCCCGAGUAAACGGCGGCCGUAACUAUAACGGUCCUAAGGUAGCGAAAUUCCUUGUCGGUUAAAUACCGACCUGCAUGAAUGGCGUAACGAGAUGGGAGCUGUCUCAAAGAGGGAUCCAGUGAAAUUGUAGUGGAGGUGAAAAUUCCUCCUACCCGCGGCAAGACGGAAAGACCCCGUGGACCUUUACUACAGCUUGACACUGCUACUUGGAUAAGAAUGUGCAGGAUAGGUGGGAGGCUUUGAGUAUAUGACGCCAGUUGUAUAUGAGCCAUUGUUGAGAUACCACUCUUUCUUAUUUGGGUAGCUAACCAGCUUGAGUUAUCCUCAAGUGGGACAAUGUCUGGUGGGUAGUUUGACUGGGGCGGUCGCCUCCCAAAUAAUAACGGAGGCUUACAAAGGUUGGCUCAGAACGGUUGGAAAUCGUUCGUAGAGUAUAAAGGUAUAAGCCAGCUUAACUGCAAGACAUACAAGUCAAGCAGAGACGAAAGUCGGUCUUAGUGAUCCGGUGGUUCUGUGUGGAAGGGCCAUCGCUCAAAGGAUAAAAGGUACCCCGGGGAUAACAGGCUGAUCUCCCCCAAGAGCUCACAUCGACGGGGAGGUUUGGCACCUCGAUGUCGGCUCAUCGCAUCCUGGGGCUGGAGCAGGUCCCAAGGGUAUGGCUGUUCGCCAUUUAAAGCGGUACGCGAGCUGGGUUCAGAACGUCGUGAGACAGUUCGGUCCCUAUCUGCCGUGGGCGUAAGAAGAUUGAAGAGAUUUGACCCUAGUACGAGAGGACCGGGUUGAACAAACCACUGGUGUAGCUGUUGUUCUGCCAAGAGCAUCGCAGCGUAGCUAAGUUUGGAAAGGAUAAACGCUGAAAGCAUCUAAGCGUGAAGCCAACUCUAAGAUGAAUCUUCUCUAAGCUCUCUAGAAGACUACUAGUUUGAUAGGCUGGGUGUGUAAUGGAUGAAAGUCCUUUAGCUGACCAGUACUAAUAGAGCGUUUGGCUUAUCUUUAAUAAAGCAU